rnacentral:tRNA from 1 species
GGGCGUGUAGCUCAGUUGGUUAGAGCGCUGUCCUCACACGACAGAGGUCAGAGGUUCGAGCCCUCUCACGCCCACCA